GAAGAAGAAGAAGAAGAAGCUAAACCAAAUUACAUUCCAACUGCAGAUCCAUUUCAUUCCUCCCUAACUUUCAAGCAUUUUCUGAGAAAUUGACUCUUUUUCAUAGUACAGCUUGUUAACUGUUUCCUGUUUAAGACAAAAGCUGUAUCCCAUGUGUGUGUGGCAUGUCCUAAAUGUGAGAGACCAUCUGAACAGUUGGGAAGUCAAAGAUAUACCACCAAGAUAUGUGACAAAAAGUCUAAUACAUAAUCUAUUGUUAAUUCCUGCAAGAAGAUCAACACUGUAGACUCCAAAAUUUUGGGAGAAUGUAGUUAAGGAAUCUAUUGAAACAAGAAAGUCAGAAAACUUUACGAACAUUGGGGAAGUUUCCAAGUUAGGCAAGUUUUGGCAUAUGGCAGAGCCAAGAAAUACAGAGGAGAUGGGCGUUUCAGCAUUGAGUAGUAGUAGUAGUAGUAGUAGUAGUAGUAGUAGUAAACUUCAUUUAACACAUGUAUCAUAAUGAAUAACACUGAGAAAUUCUGCACCAUACCACACUGGAAACAACCUGAUAAUUCCAAAGUCUGAUUCUGGCAGAACUGCUUACCAGGACAUUCUAUCACUUCUAUUGAGAAUGUGUGACUGUCUUUGCCAUCUCUAAAUACUUAAUUUUUUUGCACUUUUAGUAUUUUACAAUGGAGUUUACCAGGAAACAAGAGUUUUAAUGUUGCUAUGGUGCAGAUACACACACUAACAAAAUAUAUACCUAGCGGAAAUUGGACAAAUAAAAAAGAAAGAUAGAUGAAUUCGACCUUGUUUCAUACACAACUUAAUAGAAGCACUUCAUCUUUUUAAAGUUACUGCCUAUUCAAGAAUAAAGACAUUAACAUGUGUUUCAAAGCAGAGAGAAGCUGUCUCUUUACUUCACUUAAGUGUAACACCGUAAGUGUGGGCUACACAAUGCACGAUGAGCAUUUAUUGGGAAAUUAGUAACAGAACUCUAAAACAAUAUUUUGUUGCUGAAAUACGUCAAUUUCUUUCUGUGUAAGAUCAGUCUGGUAUUAAACAUAAUGCACUUUUUUUACAAUAGACACAGACAAGGGAAGACAUAGACUUCUGGAGAAAACCUAGACAGUAAUUAACAAAUCUUGUUUAAUUUAGAGAACCUACCAAAUAUGAAUUUAGAAACAAAAUCAUGGUGCAAAA